rnacentral:rRNA from 1 species
GACGAACGCUGGCGGCGUGCUUAACACAUGCAAGUCGAACGGACAGGCCCUGCUCUUGUGGGGUGCUCGAGUGGCGAACGGGUGAGUAACACGUGAGGAACCUGCCCUUGACUUUGGGAUAACUUCAGGAAACUGGGGCUCAUACCGGAUAGGAGCUCCUGCUGCAUGGUGGGGGUUGGAAAGUUUCGGCGGUUGUGGAUGGACUCGCGGCUUAUCAGCUUGUUGGUGGGGUAGUGGCUUACCAAGGCUUUGACGGGUAGCCGGCCUGAGAGGGUGACCGGCCACAUUGGGACUGAGAGACGGCCCAGACUCCUACGGGAGGCAGCAGUGGGGAAUAUUGCACAAUGGGCGGAAGCCUGAUGCAGCAACGCCGCGUGCGGGAUGACGGCCUUCGGGUUGUAAACCGCUUUCGCCUGUGACGAAGCGUGAGUGACGGUAAUGGGUAAAGAAGCACCGGCUAACUACGUG